AAAUCGACGGAGACAAAACUGUAACAGAGAAGCUGCGCCUUACAGCCGGGGCAACAUCCACAUCAUCUUUUCCCACCUCUGCAUGGUUGCCCCUGCCCUUUUUGCACUUUUUAACGAGUGGCCGAAUAUUCUGUACGAAAUAUGCUUAAAAGCCACGUUCCUCCUCCUUUCUGAGUGAUUAUUUGCAGUAUUUCCGACCAGGACUGAGUCCCAGGGGGUUGCAUCUCUUUAAAGUAGCGGAUUUCUAUCUUUUUCUCAACAUCGAAAAUAUCAACCUCCUAGACCAACACGCCGCGUAAACAAGUUCAUAAAUGGUGGAAGCCAUUGUGGAGUUUGAUUACCAGGCCCAGCACGAUGACGAGUUGACCAUCGCUGUCGGUGACAUCAUCAGUAACAUCAAGAAGGAUGAAGGGGGCUGGUGGGAGGGGGAGCUGGACGGUCGGAGGGGGUUCUUCCCAGACAACUUCGUCAGGGAGAUAAAGAAGGACUCAAAAAAGGAGUUAAAGAAGGAGUCAAGUUUGGCUGGAUCCAAAUCAGACCUGUCCAAUGGCAGUGCCAGCCCGAAAUCAGAACCCAGCCUUAGACCCGCCAAGAAAGGUGAGGCAAUACGAAAAAGGCGUUGCAAAGCUGCCUUUAGCUACACUCCACAGAACGAAGAUGAGUUAGAACUGAAGAUUGGAGAUGUUAUCGAGGUUCUGGGAGAGGUGGAGGAGGGAUGGUGGGAAGGGACUCUCAACGGUAAAACCGGGAUGUUCCCCUCAAACUUCACCAAAGAGCUGUUGACUGAGGUGGAAGAUCUAACCCCACAGGACGACUCCCGCAGCACAAGAACCAGUAUGAAGGACAGCACAGGGUCAGAGAGUGAUGGUGGUGACUCCAGUAGUUUACGGUCUGACACUGGCAGUGUCUCCUCUAGCUCUGAGAUUCAACCCAAAAAGGUUCGAGGUUUUGGCUUCGGGGACAUCUUCAAAGACCAGCCAAUCAAGCUCCGUCCACGGUCCAUAGACAUGGACAAUGAGGCAGAGAAGUUUCAAAUGGUGAAGAAAGCCCCCCAAACUGUUGCCCAGGAAACAAUGAAGACUGAGCCUGAUAACAAGGCCAAAGCAAAGGAGUUUUGCAAAGUUAUAUUUCCAUAUGAAGCUCAGAAUGAAGAUGAGCUGUCAAUCAAAGAGGGAGAUAUUGUUACGAUUAUCAGUAAGGAGUGUGCAGAUGCUGGUUGGUGGAAAGGAGAGCUGAACGGCAAACAGGGAGUCUUUCCAGACAACUUUGUAAAGUUAUUCAUUCCUGAGGUAGAAAAAGAGAGACCUAAGAAACCACCUCCACCCGCAGCACCCACCACUAAACAGAUCACAGACAAAAAGACAGAGGUGAAAAAAGUCCCACCAGAACGGCCCGACUCCCUUCCACACAGAGCUGAGGAGAAAGGUGAGGAGACGAAGGUGGCUGAGAUUCCGAGGCCGUCCCUCCCAGUUGUCCUUCCAAAGAAGCCCCUCCCACCAAAAACCAACAACUCGCUGAAUCGACCAUCAUCCCUGCCGCCAAAACGCCCAGACAGACCUGAGAGACCAGCUGUGCCCAAUAUACCGUGUGACAGUCCAAAGUCUGAAGGCACUAGUGUGACCGCUGACCGGGGCUCCACAGACAAAUCCAUAGAUAUCGAUGUAGAAGACUUCGACUCCAUCAUCUCAUCCACAGAGAAGCUGAACCACCCCACAGCAUCACGUCCUCGUGUGAUGGACAGACGACCACGAUCGCAGAUCUUCACGUCUUCCUCUCUCUCUAGUCUUGACCUCCUGGAAUCCCCAUCUCCAGAGGAGGAAAGGAGAGACAAGGAGAUGGGAAAGGAGGAGCAGGACUCAUUCCUUCCCAAAACUCUUGACAGCUCCAAGAAGAUGCCCAAGGCAGUGCCAGUCAUAACAGCCCCUGAGAAAUCAGCUCUGCCCCCCAAGCCCUCUGCUCCUCCUUCAUCUUCUGGUUGCAGUGGGGCUUCUCUCCACCAGGGCAGCACUAGUCUGCGGCCUCAUUCCCCUUCCACUGAUGCCAGAGGGAAGAAUGAACAGGGAGUUGCCGUGAUGGAGGAACUCAGAGCACAAUUACGAGACCUGAGAGGAACUGUGGAUCUUAUGAAGAGCCAGCACAAGUACGAACAGGGGGGAUGAGGUGGGGGUGGGGGUAAAUGAAAAAUAGACAGAGUGAAGAGAGGAAAGAAGAGAAGGAAGUUGAAAGAGCGAGGAAAAGGGGACAAAAUAGGAAAUAAGACAAGAAAUCAAACAGCUUGUGAGUGAGUUGGAUGAAGAAAAGAGGAUUCGUAUAUCACUGCAAAACACAAACAAAUAUAUUUUGGAGACAUGAUGUGAAUAUACCCAUACAAUGCAAAUCAAUGGGGUCCAAAACUUCCAAGCUCCAAAAGAACAUAAACGCAGCAUAAAGUCAAUCUAUACGACUCAUGUGACUUAAUCCAAGUCUUCUGAAGUGAUGUGACUGGUUUUGGGUAAGAACAGACACACUCCGCGCAUAUGCCAAGCGUAAGGAAGUGUAAUCAAGCUUCAAAUCAUGAUCAUAAUACAGUUGUUUUGGGUGAGAACAGACCAAAUGUAACUCAUUUUUCACUAUAAAUCUAGACACCAAACUUUUUGGAGCUUGGAAGUUUUGGACCUCUUUGACUUGCCUUGGUGGGUCACCUCAUAUCUCCAUCAAAAUGUCUUUGUUUGUGUUCCGCAGAAGAAAGGCAUAGAAGUUUAAUACAGCAUUAGGAUGAGUAAAUGAUUAGAGAAUGAUCAUUUUUGGAUGGAAGUGGAGCAGAUUAAGAAAUCUCUGUCUAAAUGAACUCAAGCAUGAUGGAUGUAUGAGAUGAAGGAUUUGGCUGAGGUUUUACGACACAGACAAAGUAGAUUGUGCCAAAAAAAGAACAAAAAUGUAUCAGAACAAAAUGCUUAAAACAACUGUUUACUCCUCAGUUCACUUUUACUCUUUUUGUUUGUGUGCUUGUUUUUUUUUUUUUUUUUAAAGAAGCUUUUUUUUUUGCGUAUUUUGCUCAGACUGGGCACUGAUUCACAGACCCGUUGUCUGAUUGUGGCCUUACUGUGGCUCAAGUGA